rnacentral:rRNA from 1 species
GAGAUGUUGGGUUAAGUCCCGCAACGAGCGCAACCCUCGUCCUUAGUUGCCAUCAUUUAGUUGGGCACUCUAAGGAAACCGCCGGUGAUAAGCCGGAGGAAGGUGGGGAUGACGUCAAGUCCUCAUGGCCCUUACGGGUUGGGCUACACACGUGCUACAAUGGCAUCUACAGUGAGCAGCGAUCCCGCGAGGGCUAGCUAAUCUCCAAAAGAUGUCUCAGUUCGGAUUGUUCUCUGCAACUCGAGAGCAUGAAGGCGGAAUCGCUAGUAAUCGCGGAUCAGCAUGCCGCGGUGAAUACGUUCCCAGGCCUUGUACACACCGCCCGUCACGCCAUGGGAGUUGGUUCUACCCGAAGGUAGUGCGCUAACCCGCAAGGGAGGCAGCUAACCACGGUGGGAUCAGCGACUGGGGUGAAGUCGAAACAAGGUAGCCGUAGGGGAACCUGCGGCUGG